rnacentral:rRNA from 1 species
UACGUAGGGUGCAAGCGUUGUCCGGAAUUAUUGGGCGUAAAGAGCUCGUAGGCGGUUUGUCGCGUCUGCUGUGAAAACCCGAGGCUCAACCUCGGGCCUGCAGUGGGUACGGGCAGACUAGAGUGCGGUAGGGGAGAUUGGAAUUCCUGGUGUAGCGGUGGAAUGCGCAGAUAUCAGGAGGAACACCGGUGGCGAAAGCGCUCAUCUGGCCCAAUACUGACGCUGAGGCGCGAAAGCUAGGGGAGCAAACGGG